UGGUUUCGCCCGGGAUCGAACCAGAGACCUUUCGCAUGUAAAGCAAACAUGAUAUCCACUAUAUUUAUUUAUUUGGUC